UACGGAGGAUCCAAGCGUUAUCCGGAAUCAUUGGGUUUAAAGGGUCCGUAGGCGGACCUGUAAGUCAGUGGUGAAAUCUCCCCGCUCAACGGGGAAACUGCCAUUGAUACUGCAGGUCUUGAAUUAUUGUGAAGUAACUAGAAUAUGUAGUGUAGCGGUGAAAUGCUUAGAGAUUACAUGGAAUACCGAUUGCGAAGGCAGGUUACUAACAAUGGAUUGACGCUGAUGGACGAAAGCGUGGGGAGCGAACAGG
rnacentral:rRNA from 1 species